rnacentral:rRNA from 1 species
AACGAACGCUGGCGGCAGGCUUAACACAUGCAAGUCGAACGCCCCGCAAGGGGAGUGGCAGACGGGUGAGUAACACGUGGGAACGUGCCCAAAGGUACGGAACAACUCCGGGAAACUGGAGCUAAUACCGUAUGUGCCCUUCGGGGGAAAGAUUUAUCGCCUUUGGAUCGGCCCGCGUCUGAUUAGCUAGUUGGUGGGGUAAUGGCCUACCAAGGCGACGAUCAGUAGCUGGUCUGAGAGGAUGAUCAGCCACACUGGGACUGAGACACGGCCCAGACUCCUACGGGAGGCAGCAGUGGGGAAUAUUGGACAAUGGGCGCAAGCCUGAUCCAGCCAUGCCGCGUGAGUGAUGAAGGCCUUAGGGUUGUAAAGCUCUUUCGCCAGGGACGAUAAUGACGGUACCUGGAUAAGAAGCCCCGGCUAACUUCGUGCCAGCCGCCGCCGUAAAAC